GGCAGGGUCCGACUACGGACGAAAACAAACGAGAAAAGAAGAACGACGUCCAUCCUUGCUAUCCCAGGCUGCCGGCCUGGAACCCAUCCUAGAUCGAUGAAGAAGAAGAAGAUGCAACUCCAAAUGAACAAUCAACGCGCUCGCUUCAAGUAACCUUUACCUGUACCUGCAACUGGUGUUGUAGUAAUCUGUGAGCCACAGGGGACUCAGCAAUCUCAUUUCCAAAGGUAUCAAGACUAGCAAAGCUUAAUGGGUGAG
rnacentral:lncRNA from 1 species